AGGACUUUGGAGGCUUUUCGAAACGAAGUUGAAUAUCAAAGAAGAGUCUGAACCUAAAUUAGAAGGAAAGGAGAACAUGGAUUUGGAUGAAAACAGUUACUCAGGAAAUGUUAAGCAGGGCAAAACCGAGAUUUACACUCCUAGAGAUGACAAACGAGAUCCCCUUCCAGGAGCAGAGGUGGUGC